AAUCUUUGAAAAUGUUAGAAGUCCAAAUUCAAUAUUGUCUUGAGUUACUUGUUUUCUUGAAGAUAACAAUAACUCAAGAUUUGAAUUGCCAUAGUUUGAUAAGGUUUGCAUAGAAUAUGGUAUGACAAUUGAUUUGAAAGAGAAAUCAAAAUUUGAAGAGUUAAAAAUGAUUGGAAAAGAUUGAAAACCUUCCCUUUUAAAAUUGGGUUCCAUGAUUGGAGUCAAAGUUGCUCUCAGUAGCACUUCCUCCUUUUCUUUCUUUUCCCUUUCUUCUCUCUCUUUAUUUUCUUCUUCUCUCCUCUCUUUUUCUCUUCUUUUCUUCUCUCUUCUUCUCUUCUUCUCUCUUCUUCUCUUCUUCUCUCUUCUUUUCUUCUCUCUUCUUCUUCUCUCUUUCUCUUUUCUUCUUCUUUCCUUUCUUCCUAUUCUCUUCUCUCAAUAUCUCUUUUUCUUUUGUUAUCCUUGAUCUCUUUAAGUCUUGCCCCAAAUUCUAAUUCUCUCCUAAGAAACCCAUGAUCAUUUAAACUCUCAAGAAAGAUUUUUCCAUCUUCAAUGGAAUCUCUAAUUAAUUCUAGGUUUCUUUUAAUGCUUGAAGGCACAAACUUUCUUCUCAUGCAAGCUUUUAAAUCACACCAAUCAUGAAUGAGAGACUUUCUACCUUUCCUAACAUAAUAUUGCCUUUCAUCCCACCACUCACUUGCAUGUCCUUCUAACUUAGAGAGAUAAAUGCUAAGAACAUAAGACUCACUCUCUCU
rnacentral:lncRNA from 1 species